UCGGUCGACUACGUACCACAACUCACAGUUCAUAGAUGUGUCGCGUCGUCACAAUAAUAGCAACACAAAUGUCAACCAAAUUGUGAUCAUUUUUGACUUUAUACAUAAUGCAACAUUACGACUGAAUUUUAAUGAAAUACUUUGGAAAUGUUUAAUGAGUAGUAACUAUAUACGUGUAAAGAGAAAAUAUCUACGAAUCAUAUUAUAGCACUAGAAUUUCAAUUGUGCUGACCGCGGAGACAUGAGCGGUUUGAAUGCGGAGAUGCAGUAAAAAAAAUGUAGAUUAAUGCGGAUUGGCGGUGCGUUUGAAAAAUGCAAUCCCUGGGCGUGGGGGGAUGACCAUGUUAAAGACUUGGAGCAAGAUUGGAGAAAAUAAUACAAAUUCAUGUGUUGCGUAAUAGGUACUAAGCAAUAACUAAUAAUUAAUAAUAAUCGUCGCUAUAAUCGAUCUACUCCGGCACCUAAGUCUGGAAUCUGGAUACAGUGCCACAGAGGAUGGGCGAAUCAGCGGGCUGGAACCUAUCGAGGACACCACCGAGUUCAGGCGGCUGCCGUUAAUCGAAUUCAAAAUUGUGGAAGUUACUUAAAGUGGCAGUAGUAGCCAAGUAGGUACAAAGUUACCAAUUUCAUAUAAUAUCGCCAAUGGUUGACGCGCCGGGAGGUCUCUUCCCGUUUUAAAUUUGAAUGUAUAUUCGGGCGAUACGGUCAUUUCUAUUCUGUGUCCGAACCUUAGAUCAUAAUAGGUACAAUACUAUAAUACAAUAUUAUGGUCUAAGGUUCGACCUAUGAUGGCGCGCUAUCUAUCUCUUACAUUUCGACAUGCUACGCAUGGAACUACUGGCCGUCACUGCCUUACUAGAUAGACCUGACGUUCAUGGUUUUUGUAGGUAUUUUAUAUUGUUUUCAGACUUCCCGAGUUCCAACCGACGUCGUCGCGGCUUACCACGAGUCACGACUAUGUUUAAUUUCUCUUAACGACCUUUAUCUAAUUUUUAAUAACUGGUAGGGGAGGUCGAUCCGGGGCACAAAUUUCAAAUCCAUAAAGCAUAUUAUUGCAUAGUGGCACUAAUAUUAUGUUGUAAUCCGGGUUACAUAAUUUGUAGAUCCGAUACUGAAUAUACAUGUGAUGUCACUCUCAUCUUUUUUCAUUCCAACAUUAUACUUGUUAAACCA